UGGAAACGCGAUUGAUAACUCAGUGAUGCAUGAGAAACUGGAGCAGAAUUAAUCACUGGAGUAACUGACGCCACGUGUUGAUGACGUUGGUUGUUCCUCAAAAGCCUUCUACGUUUCUCUUGCGAGAUAUCGUUCGCAUCGUGUUCCUUAUUCUUGGGUAAACCAUUCCCAUAUUUUAUGGAACCAUCAGCUGAACUACCCUCUUUCAACCUUCC
rnacentral:lncRNA from 1 species